rnacentral:rRNA from 1 species
ACGGGGGGGGCAAGCGUUGUUCGGAAUUACUGGGCGCAAAGGGCGCGUAGGCGGUUGGAUAAGUCAGCUGUGAAAACCACGGGCUUAACUCGUGGCCUGCAGUUGAGACCGUCUGGCUUGAGUGUGGGAGAGGAGAGUGGAAUUCCUGGUGUAGCGGUGAAAUGCGUAGAUAUCGAGAGGAACACCAGAGGUGAAGACGGGUUGCUGGGCUGACACUGACGCUGAGGCGCGAAAGCCAGGGGAGCAAACGGGA